GCUUUCUAGGAUAAGAACACAACAGUAACAGCACAACAAUCGACCUCUUGGUGAUCAAUGCUCCUGAAACGCUAAUAGACCUUCUUUCAAGACAAUGCAUAAUGCAGCAUUCUUAAUUGUUAAUGCAGCAAAAGGCAAGAGUAAAGAGGGCUGGGGAAAAAUUCUUUAAUGUGCAACUGAGUUAGCCCCUAAGGCCUAGACAAAAAAAAAAAAUGUGACUUAAAUGUAUUGUUACCAAGUAUUAUUUAAUAUUUAUAUAGUGCCUCAAAUGGAUCCAGCCCAACAUCAGAGUGUGCCAGAGAAAUAAAAGCCUGAGCCCUAAGGAGUUUAUCUUCUGCGAGCAAAGUCGAUCUGAAUCAGAACACCCACAGAGGAAUGAGUUGAGUGAGGGAUGAUUUGACCAAAAAACGUGUUGCAACUGUAAAGCGGCACCAAGAACGGGCACCAGGCUCCAUCUGCUGGAUCCACACGUCUGUGUGUCUCACUGUCAGUGUGGUGUUUGAUUUUCUGGUGGCCAUGGAACUCUCCAUUGUAAAGAAACACAUCUUUUCUCAGCAAGUAGUCAAAACCACCAGCAAGUGUGAGCUGCUGGUGUACAGCAAGUGUGAAGUGCAGCGAAGACUCACAGACCUCAGAGUCUGGUCCACUGGACCCAGGCCCACUGCUGGAUAAAAGGUGCAGCACCCACUGGCCACUUCCAUGGUUUACAUCAGGCUCCAAGGCCUUGCGCCCGAUCACCUGAGCACCUGUGCCAACCCUCAGGAGUAAGAACAACCCUACUACCAUGAGGAUACAAUGAGCCUAAUCCAGAAAGUGUGGACAUCCUGCAAGACAAUCCCUCUGGCAGGCAAUAAGUCAAUGGCAAGUGGAGGAAAAGAAAAAAAAGAAGAGACUGAGGUGGGAGGAUGUUCUGAUUUGAGGUCAGAAGUUCGAGACUAGCCUGGCCAGCAUGGUGAA